rnacentral:rRNA from 1 species
GACGAACGCUGGCGGCGUGCUUAACACAUGCAAGUCGAACGGAAAGGCCCUGCUUUUGUGGGGUGCUCGAGUGGCGAACGGGUGAGUAACACGUGAGUAACCUGCCCUUGACUUUGGGAUAAAUUCAGGAAACUGGGGCUAAUACCGGAUAGGAGCUCCUGCUGCAUGGUGGGGGUUGGAAAGUUUCGGCGGUUGGGGAUGGACUCGCGGCUUAUCAGCUUGUUGGUGGGGUAGUGGCUUACCAAGGCUUUGACGGGUAGCCGGCCUGAGAGGGUGACCGGCCACAUUGGGACUGAGAUACGGCCCAGACUCCUACGGGAGGCAGCAGUGGGGAAUAUUGCACAAUGGGCGGAAGCCUGAUGCAGCAACGCCGCGUGCGUGAUGACGGCCUUCGGGUUGUAAACCGCUUUCGCCUGUGACGAAGCGUGAGUGACGGUAAUGGGUAAAGAAGCACCGGCUAACUACGUG